rnacentral:siRNA from 1 species
UGAAGAGAAGCAAAAGUUUCUA